AAAUUGAAGAGUUUGAUCAUGGCUCAGAUUGAACGCUGGCGGCAGGCUUAACACAUGCAAGUCGAACGGUAACAUGAGUGCUUGCACUUGAUGACGAGUGGCGGACGGGUGAGUAAUGUAUGGGGAUCUGCCGAAUGGAUUGGGACAACAGUUGGAAACGACUGCUAAUACCGAAUAAUGUCGCGAGACCAAAGGGUGCUUCCGGGCACUUGCCAUUUGAUGAACCCAUAUGAGAUUAGCUAGUUGGUGGGGUAAAGGCUCACCAAGGCGACGAUCUCUAGCUGGUCUGAGAGGAUGACCAGCCACACUGGAACUGAGACACGGUCCAGACUCCUACGGGAGGCAGCAGUGGGGAAUAUUGCACAAUGGGGGAAACCCUGAUGCAGCCAUGCCGCGUGUAUGAAGAAGGCCUUAGGGUUGUAAAGUACUUUCGGUGAUGAGGAAGUUAUGUGUGGGAUAAGCACAUAUAAUUGACGUUAGUUACAGAAGAAGCACCGGCUAACUCCGUGCCAGCAGCCGCGGUAAUACGGAGGGUGCGAGCGUUAAUCGGAAUGACUGGGCGUAAAGGGCAUGUAGGCGGAUGAUUAAGUUAGGUGUGAAAGCCUCGGGCUCAACCUGAGAAUAGCAUUUAAAACUGGUGAUCUGGAGUACUGUAGAGGGAGGUAGAAUUCCACGUGUAGCGGUGAAAUGCGUAGAGAUGUGGAGGAAUACCGGUGGCGAAGGCGGCCUUCUGGACAGAUACUGACGCUGAGAUGCGAAAGCGUGGGGAGCAAACAGGAUUAGAUACCCUGGUAGUCCACGCUGUAAACGAUGUCGAUUUGGAGUUUGUUGCCUAGAGUGAUGGGCUCCGAAGCUAACGCGAUAAAUCGACCGCCUGGGGAGUACGGCCGCAAGGUUAAAACUCAAAUGAAUUGACGGGGGCCCGCACAAGCGGUGGAGCAUGUGGUUUAAUUCGAUGCAACGCGAAGAACCUUACCUGGUCUUGACAUCCACAGAAUCUUUCAGAGAUGAGGGAGUGCCUUCGGGAACUGUGAGACAGGUGCUGCAUGGCUGUCGUCAGCUCGUGUUGUGAAAUGUUGGGUUAAGUCCCGCAACGAGCGCAACCCUUAUCCUUUGUUGCCAGCGAUUAGGUCGGGAACUCAAAGGAGACUGCCGUUGAUAAAACGGAGGAAGGUGGGGACGACGUCAAGUCAUCAUGGCCCUUACGACCAGGGCUACACACGUGCUACAAUGGCGUAUACAAAGGGAAGCGAAGGUGCGAGCUGGAGCGGACCUCCUAAAGUACGUCUAAGUCCGGAUUGGAGUCUGCAACUCGACUCCAUGAAGUCGGAAUCGCUAGUAAUCGUGAAUCAGAAUGUCACGGUGAAUACGUUCCCGGGCCUUGUACACACCGCCCGUCACACCAUGGGAGUGGGUUGCACCAGAAGUAGAUAGCUUAACCGCAAGGGGGGCGUUUACCACGGUGUGAUUCAUGACUGGGGUGAAGUCGUAACAAGGUAACCGUAGGGGAACCUGCGGUUGGAUCACCUCCUUA
rnacentral:rRNA from 1 species